ensembl:lncRNA LINC01509 long intergenic non-protein coding RNA 1509
AGAGUGAGUAAAACCCCCCUUCUAAAGAAAGCCUCCAUCCUGCUUCACAUUCAAGGGGCUUCUAGGCCAUUUGCACUUCGUUUACACCUCAUUAAACUGCCCACAUUAUAUGCCUGGGUCCCAGGUGACUGUGGGAAAAGAUCAAGGUUUCCUGCAACCUCACUGGGCAUUUUCAGAAUGAUCUGUACAAGCGUUGACUGAAUGAUUGAUUCCAAGUUCCCCCUUCCUAGGAUUUCAGACCUCCUCUUGACAAGUGAUGAAUGGGCCAUCUUAAUCUUGUUUGGAUCAGAAAGGACCAUACAAUUGAGCUUUAGACAAGACUAAAAAUAUCAAAAGUAGCACUCUGCAAUUUUAUGUGCAUGUGGCUUGAAGCUCUGACAACAACACAAAAGAACCUCCUUUAGACGUCCUUCACUUCCAGGAUCCAGUCCAAACUCCUGGGCUUGGCACAUGAACCCUCCAUCAUCUGGCACCUGGCAGCCCACAUGCUGGAGCCUCACGGAUUUGCUCAUCGCCCUCUGAACACCUGUGGCCUUCUCACUCCUCUGUGUCUUUGCACAUCCUUUCCCCAACCUCAUGCCAGGCCAUUGCAUUGUGAUCCAGGCUCAGUCUUCGUUCUGCUUCGUGGCAUCACAGUCCCUUAUUUGAAACUGAACCAGGACUGCAGUCUUCGACUUUGACAUCAAAUUUGACACCUCAGUGGCCCAAGCUUUCAGAAACUUGGAAUUGCAGACAUUAUGGAUUUGGACCUGCCCUCAGAAGGUUACUAUGAGGACUAAAUACAUUCAAAGUACAUGCAAGUA